GUCUACGGCCACGCCACCCUGAACACACCCAAUCCCGUCCGAUCUCGGAAGCUCAGCAGGGUCGGGCCUGGUUAGUACUCGGAUGGGAGACCACCUAGGAAGACCAGGUGCUGUAGGCG
rnacentral:rRNA from 1 species